rnacentral:rRNA from 1 species
GUAGAGCACUCUACGGGAGGCAGCAGUGGGGAAUAUUGCACAAUGGGCGCAAGCCUGAUGCAGCCAUGCCGCGUGUAUGAAGAAGGCCUUCGGGUUGUAAAGUACUUUCAGCAGUGAGGAAGGUGGGUAUGUUAAUAGCAUACUCAUUUGACGUUAGCUGCAGAAGAAGCACCGGCUAACUCCGUGCCAGCAGCCGCGGUAAUACGGAGGGUGCGAGCGUUAAUCGGAAUUACUGGGCGUAAAGCGCAUGCAGGUGGUUUGUUAAGUCAGAUGUGAAAGCCCGGGGCUCAACCUCGGAAUUGCAUUUGAAACUGGCAAACUAGAGUACUGUAGAGGGGGUAGAAUUUCAGGUGUAGCGGUGAAAAUGCGUAGAGAUCUGAAGGAAUACCGGUGGCGAAGGCGGCCCCCUGGACAGAUACUGACACUCAGAUGCGAAAGCGUGGGGAGCAAACAGGAUUAGAUACCCUGGUAG